CUUGGUGGGCGCAAGAAUCAAUUUUUUUUUUUUUGUUGUAACUGAAUGAUGCAAGUGUGUGACAUCUCUAACCCAUUUGUUAUAUCGUGUUAUUUGAAGCUAAUAGCAUUUGAGUGUUUCUGUUUUCUUAUAGUAUGAACUACUAUGUGAUUUCAAGUGUGGAGGUCUUCUUUCCUUCACACAUUAAUAUAUUUGAUGAAAGUCGUUUCCAAACUUCUUAGUAAAGAAUGGUUCAUUGAUGUCAGAAAUAAUUGAAAUUCUGUGAACUUUAUUUCAGCCUUCACAAACUAAAAGAGAGGUGUACAACUACUAUAUUUGAUGUGGAGUAUCUUAAUUAGAUGUGUGUUUUUGAUCUUUCAUAUAUGAAUCUUAAUAUUUAAGGUGCAGUUAUUUUGAAGCAUCGUCUCUUGAUUAUUCUUUGUAAUGAUUUUUUUUUUUUUUUUGCUAUAGCAAGGAACUUUUCUAUGCAUGAAUUAAAGAAAAAUGUUGAUUUUUAAGUCUCUUUAUUAAGUUACAGUUCAUAUUGUAAAUCCUUUUAUUGAUUACCAUUUUGUUGAAGUGCUUAGUUAUAACAGGGACCUAAAUUUGGUAUGUAGGAUUUGAAGAAGAAAGAUGAGUCCAACCAUGCAGGGGUUGCUAUUGAAGAGCAAUACAAAUGACAUUUACCUGAGAAAAUUACUAAAUAAUUAAGGAGUAUGCAUAAGAGCAAUUUCAAGUUUAUCACCCUUCUAUCAUUGAUUAAUUUGUAGGAACAACAUAUAGCAUUUCUUUGGGCACUGCAAAGAAAAUGCUUACAAAGAGUUGAAGAGUUUACGUUAUUUAUGACACAUUGUAUACUCCAGAAGUUGUGACACCACUAGAAUUUGAACGAUAGAUUGUAAAAUCAUAACGUUCCGAACAACUUCUUGAGCAUUUUUUUUAUUUUUUUUUGGGUCCUGUAUAAGUUGUUUGAGUUGCUUUAUUGCUUGAGACUUUGUUUUUAAUUUUUCA